CGGGGAAAGAAGACCCUGUUGAGCUUGACUCUAGUCUGACUCUGUGAAGAGACACGGAAGGUGUAGCAUAAGUGGGAGCCUUGGCGCAAUUGAAAUACCACUACUCCCGUCGUUUCUUUACUUAUUCAGUGAGACGGGGGACGUGCAUGCAGAUGCACAGACUUCUGGCGUUAAAGGACAGUCUUCGGACUGACUUGACCCGCUCUGAAGACAGUGUCAGGCGGGGAGUUUGACUGGGGCGGUACAUCUAUCAAACGGGAACGUAGGUGUCCUAAGGGGAGCUCA
rnacentral:rRNA from 1 species